rnacentral:rRNA from 1 species
UACGAAGGGGGCUAGCGUUGCUCGGAUUUACUGGGCGUAAAGGGCGCGUAGGCGGUUCGUACAGUCAGACGUGAAAUUCCUGGGCUCAACCUGGGGGCUGCGUUUGAUACGUGCGGACUUGAGUGCGGAAGAGGGUCGUGGAAUUCCCAGUGUAGAGGUGAAAUUCGUAGAUAUUGGGAAGAACACCGGUGGCGAAGGCGGCCAUCUGGACCACAACUGACGCUGAGGCGCGAAAGCGUGGGGAGCAAACAGG